UUAGAGGGAGAUGGGGGAUGGGGUGUGAGAGCAACAAUAGCAUUAGAGGGAGAUGGGAGAUAGGGGUGUGAGAGCAACAGGAAUGGAGGAUUUCCUGACACCUGAAUAGUCAGAGAGACCAUCACAGGGAAGGUGACACAUGAGAAGAGGCUUCACAGAAGAAAAGGAAGAAACUACCAGGAAUUUCUUAUUUUGUCCAAAUGGACCCAAUCUAGUCUUGACCAGUGGAAGGUUCCUGCUAUUUCUUCUGAGGCCACAACUGCCUUUGCCAAUGCCUCAUCAGGUGAUGGGAAGAAAAUAAUUUCCUUUCAACAAAAAAUAUGAAAACCAAGAACUUGUCUGAACGUUUUAAUAACCAGAAUGACAAAAGAUUACCUAAACAAAAUUUAAAUUUUGGAAAUAAGCAUUAUCCUCAAACGUGAUAUUGGAAAUACAACAAAUGUGCUUUUUUCUCCUUGAGAGAACAACUGUAUAACGCAAAAUGAAAUUUAGAGUAUUUUAUAAGAAUUACAAUAGCUAAUGUUUUUCAGAGCCUCUUUCAUGGGAGCUACUGUGAUAAUCUACUUAAAUAGCUAUCCAAUCUUCACAACUACACUGGAAAAUAUCAACCAUCUCAAUGCUGGGCAUUUAGAAACUAUCUGUUGCAUAUAAAACAUCUAUUGAAGAAAAUAAUUAUUGACUUGACUAAGAGAAGGUGACUAAGCCUCCAACAGAAGAUGCCUCCGACAGAUCCAGCGCAUAAUGAGCAGAGCAGGUGACCUGGAGUCUGAUCUCCGGAGUCAUCACUUCUAACCUUGGAGGAAAUCCACGAUGGCUCUCUCACUUGUAUUCAUCUCCCAUCUGCAGCCACUCUAUAAAUUACUCUCUCCAUGUAAUCUUUGUUUGACAUUUCUCUUCCCCAAGCAGGAUUUCAGUCACACACUUUGAGGUUUUAUAUAGAAGCUAGACUCAGAACACACAAGAGGUUGCUGUGAGAACGAGCAUUUGUGUGGUCCAAGCACAGCCUGCAAUUUUGCACUCAGUCAGCACCUAGGAGGAAAAAGCCCCGUGCACUUCAGCUGUAUCUUCCAAGAGUGCCAACACGGCUGCCCCAUGAAGCCAACCUUCCCCUGUGAAUGAAUAGGCAACCUGAGAUGCAAUGAGUUUCCAAAGCCAGACCUGAAUACAGCCCGGAUUGCUAGCAGAAACCUGCCUAGACUAAUUCACAGUCACCAUUUGACUGCAUUCUCCUGCCUCUCAGCUAACAAAGGCAUUAUCUCCCAGCACUUCUAAGAGCUAAAUUGCUCUUUUAACAGCAAUUAUAAGAGUGCUAACAAAAAGCUAAAGAUUUGGAGAAUCAAUGUGCUUCUUUUACUUCUAAAUCAUUGUAUCAGAUUUCCUCCUUGAAUUAUAAUUUUAUGCUGUUAAUGAAGAAAAUGCCUCCUUUCAGAGCACUGAAUAAGAAAGGUACAUUUUUGUACAUUCUAAGCCUCCUUUUAAGAAAAAUCACUUUUAUCUCUCCAUUUUAUGGGCAUAAAGAGGGAAAUCAUAUUUUGAAUAAUUACAGGAAACAGUCUGCUACAAAUGGUAUAUGUGAUAAAAUACCUGUUAGCUACAAUUAAGUUAAAAUUUUAGGGAAAAUCACAAAGUAGAUCAAUUUAUUCCCACACAUCAUUCUCCAACUUCAUGUACAAUUAAUUAGAGGAUAAUGUGAAAUAUAAGCAUGGAGCCAUGUGCUUUUAUUGCAUUUCAACUAAAAUCCUUGGUCCUUACUGUCAGAGGCAUGUGAACAACAGCAACUGCAUCUUGAAUAGGAACUACAUAAAAUGAGGCUGAAACCUAUUGAGCUGCAUUCCCAGACAGUAAAGGCAUUCUAAAUCACGGAAUGAGAUAGGAGGUCAGCAUAAGAUACAGACCUUGCUGAUAAAACAGGUUGCAGUAAAGAAACCGGCUAAAUCUCCAAGAUGGCCACGAAAGUACCUCUGGUCAUCCUCACUAUUACACUCCCAUCAGGGCCAUGAGAGUUUACAAAUGCCAUGGCAAUGUCAGGAAGUCACCAUUUAUGGUCUAAAAAGGAGAGGCGUGAAUAAUCCACCCCUUGUUUAGCAUAUCAACAAGAAAUAACCAUAAAAAUGGGCAACCAUCAGCCCUCAGGCCUGCUGUCUAUGGAGUAACCAUUCUUUUAUUCCUUCAUUUUCCUAAUAAACUUGCUUUCACUUUACUGACUCUCCCUGAAUUCUUUCUUGUGCGAGAUCCAAGAACCCUCUUUUGAGGUCUGGACCCGGACCCCUUUCCUGUAAUGUUACUAUCUCUGAUUUCAUGAUUCUGAUGUUUAAAUUACUUGUAAAAUAAAUCCCUAUUUAAUAGUAUCUGUGACUAUACCACAUAAAUAUUUCAUCAGUUAGGGCUAUUCUUG
rnacentral:lncRNA from 10 species